rnacentral:rRNA from 1 species
GUGGGGAAUCUUGCGCAAUGGGCGAAAGCCUGACGCAGCAACGCCGCGUGGGGGAUGAAGCUUCUCGGAGUGUAAACCCCUUUCGACCCGGACGAAUGCCCGCAAGGGUUUGACGGUACGGGUAUAAGAAGCCCCGGCUAACUACGU